AGCCUCUCACCAUUCCACAAUCCACACAAGCAAACACGAGCAGAUUCUCUCAAGAGACUCGGACGAACCAGACAGACCCAGCAAAGCAAUCAAGCAGCCAGCCGCAGAGAAGAUCGAUUUCAUCCUAAAAGUGAUCGAGUGAGUGACCUCCCGCGCGGCGCCGCUAUGGGCGGCCUGGCAUGGAUGGUGGCCGCGGCGGCCGCGGCGGUGGCGGCGUCGUGGGCGUUCAACGCGCUGGUGCACCUCGUCUGGCGCCCCUACGCCGUCGCCCGGAGGAUGGCCGCGCAGGGCGUGCGCGGGCCGGCCUACAGGUUCUUCUCCGGGAACCUCGGCGAGAUGAGGCGGCUCCGCGCCGAGGCCGCCGGCGCCACGCUCGCCGUCGGCGACCACGACUUCGUCCCCCUGGUGCAGCCCUACCACCGCAAGUGGAUCUCGCUCUACGGCCCGUGGUUCCUGUACUGGAACGGGGCGACGCCGAACGUGUGCGUGGCGGACGUGAACGUCGUCAGGCAGGUGCUCUCCGACCGCACGGGGCUCUACCCCAAGAACCUCAUGAACCCGCACAUCACCCGCCUGCUCGGCAAGGGGCUCGUCCUCACUGACGGCGACGACUGGAAGCGCCACCGCAAGGUCGUGCACCCGGCCUUCAACAUGGACAAGCUCAAGAUGAUGACGGCGACCAUGUCCGACUGCGCUCGGUCGAUGAUGUCCGACUGGGAGGCGCAGCUGGCAAAGGCGCCCGGCGGCGUGGAGAUCGAGGUGAGCAGCCGGUUCGAGGAGCUCACCGCCGACGUGAUCUCGCACACGGCGUUCGGGAGCAGCUACAAGGAGGGAAGGCAGGUCUUCCUGGGGCAGAGGGAGCUCCAGUUCCUCGCCUUCUCCACGGCCUUCAAUGUCCAGAUCCCGGCGUUCAGGUACCUCCCAACGGAGAAGAACCUCAGGAUAUGGAAGCUGGACAAGCAGGUGAGGGGCAUGCUCAUGGACAUCAUCAAGAGCCGGCUCGCCACCAAGGACACCGCCGGCUACGGGAACGACCUGCUCGGGCUGAUGCUGGAGGCGUGCGCGCCUGAGCACGGCGGCGAGAGCCCGGUGCUGAGCAUGGACGAGAUCAUCGACGAGUGCAAGACCUUCUUCUUCGCGGGGCACGACACCACCUCGCACCUCCUCACCUGGGCCUCGUUUCUGCUGAGCACGCACACGGACUGGCAGGAGAAGCUCCGGGAGGAGGUGCGGCGGGAGUGCGGCGACCAGGAGCCCAACGGCGACAAGCUCAACAAGCUCAAGCUGGUGAACAUGUUCCUCCUGGAGACCCUGCGGCUAUACGGCCCGGUGUCCAUUAUCCAGAGGAAGGCGAGCUCGGACCUCGACCUUGGCGGCAUCCGGGUGCCCGAGGGCACCAUCUUGACGAUCCCAAUUGCGACGAUCCACCGUGACAAGGAGGUCUGGGGCGAGGACGCCGGCGAGUUCAGGCCCGAGAGGUUCGAGAAUGGGGUGACAAGGGCGGCCAAGCACCCCAACGCGCUGCUGUCCUUCUCCAGCGGGCCGAGGUCGUGCAUUGGGCAGAACUUCGCCAUGAUCGAGGCCAAGGCCGUGGUCGCCAUGAUCCUGCAGAAGUUCAAGCUCGAGCUGUCACCCAAGUACGUGCACGCGCCCAUGGAUGUGAUCACACUGCGGCCCAGGCAUGGGCUCCCCAUGAUCCUCAAGCGUCUGGAGGCGUAAGAGUCGCGUGCUACACAUGCAUGCUGCAUGUCUGUCAGUUCGAAAAAUAUUUUUUAAUUCAUUUUCAUUUGAUGUGAUAUGUUAAUUGUAAAAGUUUUGAAAUUUGUCUUGCAUCACACAA